ensembl:miRNA
ACCAACAUCUGUAGGCUGGCUGGCCCCCAGCAGGCUCUAGGCAAGCAUCUCUUUGAGCGGCUCACUCUCAAGCAUGAUUAGGAGGCCUGGCCUUCC